AUGUUUAUCAUUUAUUGGAUAAUGUCAGCCAUGUUUGGAAUUAUGGCGAGUGUAGACGGUUCACUUUAUGGAGUUUGGUUCUUAUGCUGUCUAGGUUGCUUUAUUCUAGGUUUGGUAAAUUUAUUAAAAGGAGGUUAUUGAUUGACAAUUUUAGCAACUUUUGUCACUAUAAUUUUAUCAUUUAUUUUUAUAGUUGACUUUUUACUUAUAAUCGCUCUUAUUAUUACACUAUGGAGGUUUUUCGAAUGACAAUUAAAGACGACAUCAAAGCAAUUAACAAAGAUAUUUUUGAAGCUAAAGACUGGGAACAAAUGGUUCAACGUACUAAGUAUUGGGUAGUUAAAUUAAAAAACAUCUAUCCUGAUUAUAAUUUUAAAACUUAUUUUAAACCGCUACGUGAUAGAAACAUCAUUUUUAUUGACUAUAAAGUAAAAGAGGUUUACUAAAAUGAAAGACUUGUUUGAACGUGUUAUAACAGCUAAAGAACUACAAGAAAAAGAGGACUUCAAAGGCGGGAAUGAGUGGCUAAUAGAACACUUAAUACCACGAGGUCAGGCAGGUCUAACAAUUGCACCGCAAAAGUCUUUUAAGAGUUCUACAACCCUACAAAUGGCGUUGAGUGUAGCUAAAGGUGUACCCUUUGGCUAUUUUAAAACUAAAAAAGCGAACGUGCUUAUAAUUGACAAUGAGGAUACUGACUUCGUCCUACAUCAACGGUUAAAGGCUUAUAGUGAUGUUCCUGACAAUUUGCAUUUCAUUACAGGGGGAAUUUUUAAGCUAGACAAUACAAACCACAUGAAUGGACUUUAUAAGUUCAUCAAAGAGAAUAACAUUAAGUUUGUUAUCUUGGACAACUUAAAAGACAUGCUGACAGACAGAAACACUCUAAAUGAUAUGUCAAGUAUGAAUGAUGUCUUGAAUAACAUAACACGCUUGAAAUUGCUCCUAAAUGAUGUAACGUUCCUUUUAAUUGCUCACGCUAGAAAAGACACGAACAAUCAAUCACUUGAGGAAAAGAGUUUUAGGGUUAGAAGUACACAUGCCUUAGGUAGUUCGGCAAUUGGUGCAUGGUUUGAGUUCUGUUUAUGUCUUAGCCCUAAAAUGGGAAAGAAUAGCAAGUAUUCAAUUUUAACUGUUGAGGCUCGUAACUACGCUUAUGACAAAGAGGUUUGUCUGGGUUAUGUAGCGGACCAAUUCCAAAUCAUAGACCCCACAGGAAACAAACCUAAAGAGAUACUAGAGGAGGAACAAAAAGAGGGGGAAGAAUACGAGGAAACCAAAAACGACGCCGAAAGUCUUUUAACAGCGUUGCAACAAAAAGGAAAAGUAAAAGAAAUUAACGAUUAACCGUUUUGUCUUUGACAUUGCGGUUUUUCUUUUGUAUAAUUAAAUCAUCAAGUUAAGAGAGGUUAUCAAAUGGAUAAACUAGAAAGAGAAAACAAAGAACGUUGGGCCAGAAAUCGUUUCGAGUUCAUGGUCCGAGACGCUGAAAGAAUUAAACGUUACUUAGAAUGUGGCGAAGUUAAAAAAGCCGAACAAAGUAGUAGAUUUUUCAAACGAAAUUUGUUAGAAUUAAAUAAACUAGAAAAGGAGUUAAACAAUGGCAAUUGAACUUGAAACAUUGAACAAAAUAGCAGUAAGACUUCAACAAAAAGAAUCAGUAACAGAUAUUGAAAAGGAUAUGCUUAUAGGGCUUUUAAAUAGCGUUUAUAGCUAUUAUAAACAAAUGGAGGAUAUUUCUAUGCUAGAUGUCUUAGUCGUUCUCUAUGAGCGUUUAACAGGCGUUAAAGCUGACAAAAAAGAAGAAAUGGAACGCUUCAUUGAAAAGUUCACAGCAAAAGGGCUUGUUAAGUUAUUAGACGACUUAGAACAAAAAGGGAAACGCCAAAAAGAAGGUAAAGUUGACGAGAUGUUCAUCAAUGAAACAAGAAUGUAUUACAAAGUAGUAGCAAACAAAAUCAAAGAAAGAGGUAUUAAAUAAUGGCAAUUGAGAAAGUGGUAUAUCAUUAUGACGACGGAACAAAAAGAGAAUAUCCACCACGAUUGACAGACCUAGAACAGUUAGAGGAGUUUAGAAAGUCAAAAGCUGACAUAAAAGAAUUAUAUGAGUUCAUGCAAGAACAUCUAAGCAAGUUUGAUGCUAAGUUGUCACUAUGCUUCAAGUAUAUGAUUGACAACCUAGGUAUGGAAGAACAGCAGGCAAACAACACUUUAGAAUUUUGGUGUGAUGAAUGGGCAUUACAAAACGUUCACUUUAUCCUAGAGGGCGGGGAAUGCCAAAUGUGUGGUAAACAAUGUAAUGCCAAAAAAGUCUUUUGUUCAGAAGAAUGUUACAAAGAUUAUAUUGAAAUGAAACACAACUGUAAUUGACAUAGUUAAAAGAAUUCGAUAUAAUUAAUUCAUCAAGUUAAGAGAGGAAACAAAAAAAUGAUUACAGUAACUUAUUUACUAGAUGACGGCUCUAGUGAUUGGACUUAUAGCGUUAAAAAAUUACGUACUGCCGUUGAAUGUAUUAGAGAGGAUAUGAAAGAAGUAUCAACGAUUGUAAAAGCAAUUGUGUUUGAUGAAAAUGGGAAGAAAAUUUUAGAGGCUGACAGAUGAUAUUUGUGUUUCUAAUUGUGUUGAUUGAAACUUUAAUAUUAUGGUUAGUUUUAGAAAGAGGUUAAGAAAUAAUGGCUCAAGAUUAUUAUGCAAAUAAGUACGGUAUUCAAUUAGAAGAGUUCCUGAUUUGGGGUUCUGAAUGGGACUUAAAAUUUUGGAAGUAUAACUUUACAACUGGUCAAGGUUUUGCACUAACUAACGCUUUAAAGUACACUGUAAGGGCAGGGAAAAAGCCAGAUGAACCGUAUGAAAAAGAUAUGGGCAAAUAUAACGACUACAUCGACAUGGCUGUUAAAAUGGGCUUUGAACGGUCUGAAGCAGAAGACUGGGUAGCACUUCAAAAAUCAAUAUUUGAGGAGUUUAAAGGAAAAAAAGCAGAAAUUGAAGAACUUGAAAAAAGAAAGGAAAUGAAAGAAAAUGAUGAAAUUCGUCGCCUUUAAUAGACAAACAUUUAUGUGGUUUCAUACUAAGGAGCAACUAGCGAACCACUUUAACAUCACGGUUGCUUAUUUAGAUUUAUGGCUGAACAAAAACAAGCCUUUAAACGGUUGGUUUGUGAAAGAGGUAAAUUAUGAUUCUGAAUUGGAACGACUUCAAUAAAUGGCGUGAAACUAGCUUAGAGUAUCAUAAAAUGAUAGGCGAACACAAUUAUACUAAUGCACUAACAUUUUUUGAGUAUGUAAGACAAUACUUUAACGCUAAAGGCUUCCCACCUGCUGAAAAGAAAACAAAAACAGGCAGAAAAGGAAAAUACACGCAAAAAGAUAGUAAAGAACAAUUAAAACAAAUACAUGAAUACAUCGGAGGAAUAAAAAAAUGUUGACUUUAUUAUUAACAAUUAUAUUUAUUUGGCUUGUAUUUAAAGCCGUUGAAAAUGUAGCUGAAGAACUUGGUAGAUACAUCAGAGGGUUCUUUAAAUGGUUGUGGAAAAUGUACAAAAAACAUAUUAAUAAAGGAGUUAGCCUAUAAUGGAAAGCAAAGUUCUAAAAUUAAUCAAUGAAAUUAAAGUACCAAAAAGCCAAUAUAACAGCUUUGGAAAGUACAAUUUCAGAAAUAACGAGGAUAUUCAAACGGCUUUGAAGCCUUUGUUAUUACAGUUCGGUCUUAUGGAAAAAGCGACAACUGAAAUGUUAGAAAUGAACAACGAGCUGAUGUUGCACGUUCAUAUUGACAUCUUUGACCCUGAUAACCCUAAUGACAUCGCAAGCGGUGACGGUUGGGCAGUUAUUGACAUCAAUAAGAAAGGUAUGGAUAAAGCGCAAGCGACUGGUGCUAGUCAAUCAUACGCAAGUAAAUAUGCCUACGGUCAAGCGUUGAAAUUAGACGAUACCAAAGACGCCGAUAGUACAAAUAAAGGUCCAAAUAAUGCUACACAGAUGAAAUCACGACCAAAAUCAAACUAUCAAUACAAUUUGAGCGACUUAAAGAAGAAAGUAGCAAAUAAAGAAAUCUCAAGCGACCAAGCCAAUGAACUUUGCAAACAAGGAAAAGUAAAUAUGAAUGCUUAACGCUUGACAAGAUGAAGUAAAUAAGUUAUAAUUAAACUAUCAAAUAAAGAGAGGAAAAUAAAAAAAUGAAAAUUAUUGAAACUUUAAAAGUGAACGAAAUCAACACAAAACAAGUUGAAACAGCAAAAGGAACUAAAAAAGUCCUAUCAUUCAAAGCAUACCCAUUUGAACACUACAUUGGAGGUAUUUGGUUACCUGAUAGCGUAAAUUAUGGCGACAUCGUAACAGUAUUCAUUGACCAAAUUAAAGCCGAAACAAAAGGCGACAAAACUUAUUAUAACGCUUCGUAUGCUAAAGUAACGCCCGAAUUUAACUUAAACCGUGACAAUAAUGAGCCACAAAGUAACACAGUUGAUUUAUUUGGUGGAAGUUCUCCUGCUGAUAUUCCUGAUGAACAAUUACCAUUCUAAAGGGGUUCACUUAUGGGUUAUGACUAUGAAAUGAUACUUGAUGAAGUAGACAAAUUAAGUCUACAAGGGCGAGUAGAGGAAGCAAAGGAAUUUGUUAGGAAACUUGUUCCCCCUCUGUUCGCUAUUGACUUUACAAACUUAAUGGAAUUAAUUGAGAGGAACGAAUACAAACUAUGAAAAUCGCAAAAGAAACUUUGAACGCUUUGAAAGAUAUGCCAAUUAUCACUUUGAAUACUAUCCAUGAUUUAUUGGAAGUAAAACAACACAUCAACAAUUAUCAACGCAACACAAACAAAAAAUACGGUCUAAGCCUAGAAAAAGACGAAGUAAUUAACCGUGAAGUAGCUGACAUGAUUAUUAUUAACACGCUAGGAAAGUUAAACAUGUUACCUGAACAGUCUUAUUUCUUGCGUUUGGUACGAAAUGAAAAUGUUGACACUCCUAAAGCUCGUAAGGCUGAAAAGUUUGCCGAAAAAGCGAACUUAGCUGACAAAAUUGUUGAAAUACUUGCUUUUAUUGACGAUAAAGCAUAUAUUAGUAUCGAAAACAGAGACUUGUACAAUUUUAUUAAAAAAGAAAACGUCCAAAAUUUAGAGUACUUUAGCAAUGAAGGGUAUCAUAAUUGGUUCGAAAAUCGUGUUAAAUGGUUGUUAGAUACUUACAAAGGGGAAUAAAUGAUUAACUUACAAAACAAAAAAUUAGACAUCAAAGAGUUCUUACAAGAGUUAGGUUUUACCGUUAGUUUAGACUAUGAAAGAGAACCAAUGGGCGUUAUGUUUGCUGAAAUACACCCUAUUGUUAGUCAAGUAAGCAACAAUUCAGCCAUUUAUCAGUCGUUUAGAACGCUUGAAAUCGAACUUAUGGUAAUUUGUACCGAAGAAACAGAAAACAGCUUAUACAGGGCUGUACAGCUCUUGAGCGAUGAACAUUAUAUAUACGCAAACACUAUCACAGAUAACACAAAUAUUAUAAAAUUAAGAGGUAACUACUAUGAUUAAUGAAAAUACAUUGAAUUUUAUCCGUUUCUCUAGUGGCUUCAAUAACUUAAAAAAAGAAGAACUCGAAGCAUUUGCCGAGAAUGAAAUCUUUGAACUUAAUGAGUAUAACGCAAGUGAGGGCCAACAAGGAAAAUACUUCUACACUUUAUACGAUGUUAAUACAAACGGAACACUUAAAAGCUAUAUUAUUGAAUGUUUAAAACUUUCGCUACAAACGCGUUGGGGAAACAAUUUAGAGUAUCAUAUCGACCGCAAAACGAAAUACUUAAACAAAUUAACUGGAAUGCAAGUGUAAAAAGAAAGAGAGAAAUAAAAAAAUGAAAUUAAAAAACCAAAUUGAAUUGCUUAGUGACACUUUGAAAUUACAUGAUAAAAAAGUAGAUGAACAUUUUCCAAAAGAUGAAAGUCAAGUCCACGCUUAUGCUGAAGCCCAAUACAUUGACUUGUUCAGUAUGCUUCAAGAAGUUGUCAAAGCGUACGAAUUCACGGCAAAAUGGCACAAAGCCUCUGUAAAAGCCGUUGAAAUUCUUGUGACUAACCUAAACGAACAUUCUGAAAUGGUCAACGAAAUCAUGGAAGAUACCGAUUAUGAAAAUUGGACCAAAGAAGAAGACAAACAUUAUACUGGUGUAUUCUACUACGACUUACAUAAAACAGUAGAAGAAACGUUAGAAGAAAUGACGGAGGUGUAAAAAUAGUAUACGUUAUUUAUAUUGUGUCAUUCAUCUUGUACAGUUGGUACUUAAUUAAAGUAGGAAAGAAACACGCCGAACGUAAAGAUGAAAUAAAGUUAGUUAUAACUGGUAAACCUGAACAAGUUAAAAAAGCAAUUGAAACUAUCAAUGAACAAAAUUUAAUAAAAUAG
rnacentral:misc_RNA from 1 species